AAACAGGAAGAAGCAGGCUGGAGAUAUUUACUCUGCCUAAAAUACUACCACACGUUUCUGCAAACUUUUCUGAUGAAAGAGGAAGGCUGAAUGAUGAAUUCAUUCAUAAGAUCCUGUAUGAGAUAGAGCAUACUCUGUCCUCUGCGGUGUUGGACUUUAAAAGUAACCAAAUAUAUGGCUUCUGUAAUCAAGUGCCAUACAUCUGCAGCUAUCUUCUUCCUGAAAAAGCACAUAGUGGUAUUUGCAUUCUUAAGCUGUACAAAAAAGUGCAGAGUGGACAUUAUGGACCUGGAAUGCUCUCUUUGUCUCCACAUGGAUUGUGGCUCAUAACAACAGCUAAAUGUGGCAUUCUGUGUA